GCCAGACUCCUACGGGAGGCAGCAGUGGGGGAUAUUGCACAAUGGGGGGAACCCUGAUGCAGCGACGCCGCGUGGGUGAAGGAGUGCUUCGGCAUGUAAAGCCCUAUCGGCAGGGAAGAAGCAAGACGGUACCUGACUAAGAAGCCCCGGCUAACUACGUGCCAGCAGCCGCGGUAAUACGUAGGGGGCGAGCGUUAUCCGGAUUCACUGGGUGUAAAGGGAGCGUAGACGGCCAUGCAAGCCAGAUGUGAAAGCCCGGGGCGCAACCCCGGGACUGCAUUUGGAACUGUGUGGCUUGAGUGUCGGAGAGGCAGGCGGAAUUCCUAGUGUAGCGGUGAAAUGCGUAGAUAUUAGGAGGAACGCCAGUGGCGAAGGCGGCCUGCUGGACGAUGACUGACGUUGAGGCUCGAAAGCGUGGGGAGCAAACAGGAUUAGAUACCCUGGUAC
rnacentral:rRNA from 1 species